GAUGAACGCUGGCGGCGUGCCUAAUACAUGCAAGUCGAGCGAGCAGACGAGGAGCUUGCUCCUCUGACGUUAGCGGCGGACGGGUGAGUAACACGUGGAUAACCUACCUAUAAGACUGGGAUAACUUCGGGAAACCGGAGCUAAUACCGGAUAAUAUAUUGAACCGCAUGGUUCAAUAGUGAAAGACGGUUUUGCUGUCACUUAUAGAUGGAUCCGCGCCGCAUUAGCUAGUUGGUAAGGUAACGGCUUACCAAGGCAACGAUGCGUAGCCGACCUGAGAGGGUGAUCGGCCACACUGGAACUGAGACACGGUCCAGACUCCUACGGGAGGCAGCAGUAGGGAAUCUUCCGCAAUGGGCGAAAGCCUGACGGAGCAACGCCGCGUGAGUGAUGAAGGUCUUCGGAUCGUAAAACUCUGUUAUUAGGGAAGAACAAAUGUGUAAGUAACUAUGCACGUCUUGACGGUACCUAAUCAGAAAGCCACGGCUAACUACGU
rnacentral:rRNA from 1 species